AGAGUUUGAUCAUGGCUCAGAAUCAACGCUGGCGGCGUGCCUAACACAUGCAAGUCGAACGAGAAAGGGUAGCAAUACCUGAGUAAAGUGGCGCACGGGUGAGUAACACGUGACUAACCUACCCUGGAGUGGGGGAUAACUGAGGGAAACCUUAGCUAAUACCGCAUAACACCUACGGGUCAAAGGAGCAAUUCGCUUCAGGAGGGGGUCGCGGCAGAUUAGUUAGUUGGCGGGGUAAUGGCCCACCAAGACAGUGAUCUGUAUCCGGCCUGAGAGGGCGCACGGACACACUGGAACUGAAACACGGUCCAGACUCCUACGGGAGGCAGCAGUGGGGAAUUUUGCGCAAUGGGGGAAACCCUGACGCAGCAACGCCGCGUGGAGGAUGAAGUCCUUCGGGACGUAAACUCCUUUCGAUCGGGACGAUAAUGACGGUACCGAGAGAAGAAGCCCCGGCUAACUUCGUGCCAGCAGCCGCGGUAAUACGAGGGGGGCGAGCGUUGUUCGGAAUUAUUGGGCGUAAAGGGUGCGUAGGCGGUUUGGUAAGUCUGAUGUGAAAUCUAUGGGCUCAACUCAUAGUCUGCAUCCGAAACUGCCGGGCUUGAGUAUGGGAGAGGUGAGUGGAAUUUCCGGUGUAGCGGUGAAAUGCGUAGAUAUCGGAAGGAACACCUGUGGCGAAAGCGGCUCACUGGACCAUAACUGACGCUGAUGCACGAAAGCUAGGGGAGCAAACAGGAUUAGAUACCCCUGUAGUCC
rnacentral:rRNA from 1 species